UACGAAGGGGGCUAGCGUUGCUCGGAAUCACUGGGCGUAAAGGGUGCGUAGGCGGGUUUUUAAGUCAGAGGUGAAAUCCUGGAGCUCAACUCCAGAACUGCCUUUGAUACUGAAGAUCUUGAGUCCGGAAGAGGUGAGUGGAACUGCGAGUGUAGAGGUGAAAUUCGUAGAUAUUCGCAAGAACACCAGUGGCGAAGGCGGCUCACUGGUCCGGUACUGACGCUG
rnacentral:rRNA from 1 species